rnacentral:rRNA from 1 species
UACAGAGGGUGCAAGCGUUAAUCGGAAUUACUGGGCGUAAAGCGCGCGUAGGUGGUUUGUUAAGUUGGAUGUGAAAGCCCCGGGCUCAACCUGGGAACUGCAUCCAAAACUGGCAAGCUAGAGUACGGUAGAGGGUGGUGGAAUUUCCUGUGUAGCGGUGAAAUGCGUAGAUAUAGGAAGGAACACCAGUGGCGAAGGCGAUCACCUGGGGUUGUUCUGACGCUGAGGAGCGAAAGCUAGGGGAGCAAACGGG